UACGUAGGGUGCGAGCGUUGUCCGGAAUUAUUGGGCGUAAAGGGCUCGUAGGCGGUUUGUCGCGUCGGGAGUGAAAACUCAGGGCUUAACCCUGAGCCUGCUUCCGAUACGGGCAGACUAGAGGUAUGCAGGGGGAGAACGGAAUUCCUGGUGUAGCGGUGAAAUGCGCAGAUAUCAGGAGGAACACCGGUGGCGAAGGCGGUUCUCUGGGCCUUACCUGACGCUGAGGAGCGAAAGCGUGGGGAGCGAACAGG
rnacentral:rRNA from 1 species